CACAGCCCUGAGAUGGAACCAACUCUACCAACAUCUUGAUUUUGGACUUUUAGUCUCCAGAACCUUCUGGAGGCUGGAAGUCCAAGAUCAAGGGAUUGGCAAGUAUGAUUUCUCCUGAGACCUCUCUCCUUGGCUUGCAGAUGGCCACCUUCUCACCGUGUCCUCAGUUGGUAUAUUCGUCAGGGUUCUCCAGAGAAAUAGAACCAAUAGGAUGUACCACGUUCAGCUACCCUACCUGCUGUCGAACCAAGCAAGAUCACAACAUGGACCUCCCCUGAAGUCUGAGAGACUAUAACACAGCAA
rnacentral:lncRNA from 1 species